AUGUCCCGACUCAGUCCCGAGUUAAGGUUGAGGAUACCGACCCAACCAGAUCUCCUAUCCGGUGAGGCAACCCUGUUUAUAUCCGUGCGCGAUUCGCCCUCAACCCUAGAUCCCCAAAUCCCCUCCUCCCCGAGCUGCUUGAUGACUGCAAGCGCAAGUUUGGAGAGGGAGGAGAGAGCCAUAAACAGAAGAAACGGACGUGAGUCAUCAUUGGCUUCAAGUGGGAGUCAUGUCCCAAAAGCCACUAAUUGUAGGAUGAGCAAAGGCAUGAAAGCAAUGUUAAAACUUCAUGCGGUUCAGGCGGCGUACGCUGCUGCUGAGGAGAAACGAUGUGCUCUUGAGGAGGAACAGUUUGGUAGACUUCCUGAUCGAGAUGGGUCAGCCAGUACCUUUGAAGAGAAACAGUUUGGUUAUUUAGUUGGGCAUUGUCAAGAGUACUAUCUAACCUGUGCCAAUAUAACCAGAGAUCUGUCUUCCAUUGUCAUCUCGAUUGCUUUGUUUGAUGGAGAUAAGAUGUUUUUCGCAUGCUCGGGCAUAUGUGUAUCAUACGGGUCAACUCAAUUUCAGCUGACAAGAUUUGAGACUUCGGCGCGUUUGGUUACCGCAUAUAAUGAGAACAUGAACAAAGAUGAUAACUUGAGGAUUGAUGUACGCCUUCCUAGUAAUGCAAUGACAGAAGGGUUUUUGGGACUGUAUGAUCGAGAUAUUGCUAUUGUCACGACGGCGGGCCUCCCAAAUGUUCGUUCCGUAGAACUGGAUCUUCAGGCACAAGCAGUACCUACCUCCCCUGGUUCACGUAUACUAGCUGCAGGGCGUAGUUUCACGUCGGCCAUGCGUGGGUCUAUCUGUAUGGAACAUCCCAGCAGGUGGAUUUCUGAUGAUGGACAGCAUAUCACAGAGGCUGCACUAGGAGGGCCACUAAUAUCAGAUGAUGGAAGAUUUCUUGGCAUGAACCUUGACAAUAAGGAGUCUGAGGCGAACACGGUAUACUCCUUUUUCAUAUCACGGGGGCUGCUUUAUCAACGCUUGAAGCAUUUUCAGAUACUCGAUGGGAUCAUCGGUGCUACUCAGGAUGUUGACUUGGUAUGCUUGCGCCGUCGUGGCAUUGUGCGCAUCCAGGUGGCGGUUCUGAAUUUAAACAUGUUUAAAAAAGAAGAUGGUGUAGGUCCUGCCUCGGUCUCGGCUGGGGUUUAUGUCAAGCUUAACGGGUACAAUCUUCGGUUCGUACUUGAGGAGGACGAUUUCAUACCCGAAGAUGAUUUCAUCUCUCGCAUUUGGGAGCACGAUGAUGACGGUCCAGACCACGGGGCUAACCGAGAUGAUGUUUUGCCUGAUCAAGAUGCGAACAAAAAUGGGAAAAAUUCUGAAAGGGGUGCUGCUCAGUCCAAUACGUCAUCUGCUGGGACCAUUCCAAUGGAGACUGAUAAUUGCUUUGUGAACGCAUCGGACGCUCCUUCGCAGACUGAUGCAGGAGCUGACCUCGAUGUGGACACCACCGUGGCGGCUGGUACUGGAGUUGACCAACAGGGAGAUACUACAUCCAUUACAGGAAAUGAAGCAAUCUUGCCGCUUGAUGCGGCUGCACACCCAGGUGUGGCUGCAUGUGUGCAUGCGCACAGUGGCCUGCAUGCAGUGCUGCCGGCCAUGGUUGAGGGCGCACCGUCAGUAGUGCAGCCAGCCGGUGCUGCAUCUUCUGCGCUCGUGCAGCCGGUCCUGGGUACGGGCGCACCGCCAGCGGGGCAUGUUGACGAUCCUGCUCCGGUCCGCGCGCAAGGUUCCAAGAUGUCACCCGUGGAUGCUUCUUCAGCUCCUGCUCCGGUUGCCGUGGUUCCUCUCGGUCCAUUAGCGGAUUGUCCGAGUGGCUCGGCCCCGGCACCCGUGGCGAUCGUGCCGGUGGGACCUGCGGCACGUCCCUCUUCACCGACCUUAGGGACAGAUCGGAGCUCGCCGAUUUUGCAGCAACCAACACCAACGGCUCGACCGAAGACACCGAUGGGUACUAUGUCUGGAGGGCUGGCUUCGCCGCUUUGGCGUAGUAACCGUCACGCCGUCUCCGCGGAUGGUUCCUCUUCGACAGAUGAACAUUCACUAGCUAAGGCAAUGCAACGACAAGCCUCGAGGAAUUUGGACUCCACGCCAGGUUAUUUUCCGUUGUACGCAAUCGCUUCAUACGUGGUCUAUGCUACAACGAUCGGAGCACCAAUCGCUGUUCAAGGCGGUGUGUACGCGGUUGCAGCAGGUGGCUACGGAGGUUUUUUCCCAACAUGGGUGGCAGCAUAA
rnacentral:rRNA from 1 species